rnacentral:lncRNA from 1 species
AAAUUACUAAAGAAAAUUAAGAGUAUUAGAAAAAAACAUACUCUUUUCACUUUUAAAAUAUUUCAGGUUACCAUCCCCAACCAAACUCCACAGAAGCUCAGACAAGAAACUAACCUGGGGAGAGCAGCUUCCUGGAACCCAGAGGCAGGCAUUUGAGAGAGUCCCAGCCCUAGUAACUGUCAACAGGAGAAGCAGAAGAUGGUACAGCUGAUGGCAUCAAUCUCAGAGGAGUAGCUACAUUUAGACUGGUGGCCACGGAUGGCAGGUCUGACUGUCCUGGAGGUGAUGCUGAGGUGCCAAUUUGUGUUGGAGGCUAAAUGAGAUUGCAGAUUUAGCAGAUUAGUUU